GCUACGGGAGGCAGCAGUGGGGGAUAUUGCACAAUGGGGGGAACCCUGAUGCAGCGACGCCGCGUGGGUGAAGAAGGGCCUCGGCGCGGAAAGCCCUGUCAGCAGGGAAGAAAAUGACGGUACCUGAAGAAGAAGCCCCGGCUAACUACGUGACAGCAGCCGCGGUAAUACGUCGGGGGGAAGCGUUAUCCGGAUUUACUGGGUGUCAAGGGGGCGCAGACGGCGAGGCAAGCCAGGAGUGAAAGCCCGGGGCCCCUCCCCGGGACGGCUCUUGGAACUGCGUGGCUGGAGUGCAGGAGGGGCAGGCGGAAUUCCUGGUGUAGCUGUGCAAUGCGUAGAUAUCAGGAGGAACACCGGUGGCGAAGGCGGCCUGCUGAACUGCAACUUCCGUUGAGGCCCGAACGCGUGGGGAGCAAACAGGAUUAGAUACCCUUGUAGUC
rnacentral:rRNA from 1 species